rnacentral:rRNA from 1 species
GGUGAGUAACACGUAAGCAACCUGCCUGUUAGAGGGGAAUAACAGUGAGAAAUCACUGCUAAAACCGCAUAUGCCGUGAACAUCGCAUGAUGAAAACGGGAAAAGAGCAAUCUGCUAAUAGAUGGGCUUGCGUCUGAUUAGCUAGUUGGUGUGGUAAAGGCAUACCAAGGCAACGAUCAGUAGCCGGACUGAGAGGUUGAACGGCCACAUUGGGACUGAGAUACGGCCCAGACUCCUACGGGAGGCAGCAGUCGGGAAUAUUGCGCAAUGGAGGAAACUCUGACGCAGUGACGCCGCGUAUGGGAAGAAGGUUUUCGGAUUGUAAACCAUUUUAGACAAGGAAGAAACAAGACAGUACUUGUAGAAUAAGCUCCGGCUAACUACGUGCCAGCAGCCGCGGUAAUACGUAGGGAGCAAGCGUUAUCCGGAUUUAUUGGGUGUAAAGGGUGCGUAGACGGGAAGGUAAGUUAGUUGUGAAAUCCCUCGGCUCAACUGAGGAACUGCAACUAAAACUGCUUUUCUUGAGUGCUGGAGAGGAAAGUGGAAUUCCUAGUGUAGCGGUGAAAUGCGUAGAUAUUAGGAGGAACACCAGUGGCGAAGGCGACUUUCUGGACAGU